UAGGGAAUCUUCGGCAAUGGACGAAAGUCUGACCGAGCAACGCCGCGUGAGUAAAGAAGGUUUUCGGAUCGUAAAACUCUGUUGUUAGAGAAGAACAAGGGUGAGAGUAACUGUUCACCCCUUGACGGUAUCUAACCAGAAAGCCACGGCUAACUACGUGCCAA
rnacentral:rRNA from 1 species